GGAUUGUGGCUCAGCGGUAGAGUGCUCGCCUAGCAUGUGCGGGGGGGCCCUGGGUUCGAUCCUCAGCAUCA
rnacentral:tRNA from 1 species